rnacentral:rRNA from 1 species
CCUACGGGUGGCAGCAGUGGGGAAUAUUGGACAAUGGGGGGAACCCUGAUCCAGCCAUGCCGCGUGUGUGAAGAAGGCCCUCGGGUUGUAAAGCACUUUCAGUGAGGAAGAACGCCUGGUGGUUAAUACCCAUCAGGAAAGACAUCACUCACAGAAGAAGCACCGGCUAACUCCGUGCCAGCAGCCGCGGUAAUACGGAGGGUGCGAGCGUUAAUCGGAAUUACUGGGCGUAAAGCGCGCGUAGGUGGCUUGAUAGGCCGGUUGUGAAAGCCCCGGGCUCAACCUGGGAACGGCAUCCGGAACUGUCAAGCUAGAGUGCAGGAGAGGAAGGUAGAAUUCCCGGUGUAGCGGUGAAAUGCGUAGAGAUCGGGAGGAAUACCAGUGGCGAAGGCGGCCUUCUGGACUGACACUGACACUGAGGUGCGAAAGCGUGGGUAGCAAACAGGAUUAGAUACCCUUGUAGUC